UCUCAGAACCCAAUCCGCGCUAUAGCUCUCGCAAGUAGUGAGAUGCGGGCUUGUAGAUCCGUUACAUCAACUACACCUAACUAUCACAGUCAAACCUCACUGACGACUGAACUC
rnacentral:rRNA from 1 species